AUUACUAACAAGGAGGAAUAUAAUAGAUGAAGAAAAGAAAAAUCCAACUGAUACUCCUACUUAUUUCGGAGUGGGUUAUUGUCAUUCCAUUUUUAACUAAUCUAUAAGUUCUUUAUAUUGCUGAAAACGCAAUUCAAAAAGGGAUGUUAAUUGUGGAUUUUCUAAUACCUGCAGAGAUUGGAUAAAGCGUUCAAUCUCUUUUUG
rnacentral:antisense_RNA from 1 species